AGUGAACGCUGGCGGUAGGCCUAACACAUGCAAGCCGAACGGCAGCACAGUAAGAGCUUGCUCUUACGGGUGGCGAGUGGCGGACGGGUGAGGAAUACAUCGGAAUCUACUUUUUCGUGGGGGAUAACGUAGGGAAACUUACGCUAAUACCGCAUACGACCUACGGGUGAGAGCAGGGGAUCUUCGGGCCUUGCGCGAUUGAAUGAGCCGAUGUCGGAUUAGCUAGUUGGCGGGGUAAAGGCCCACCAAGGCGACGAUCCGUAGCUGGUCUGAGAGGAUGAUCAGCCACACUAGAACUGAGACACGGUCCAGACUCCUACGGGAGGCAGCAGUGGGGAAUAUUGGACAAUGGGCGCAAGCCUGAUCCAGCCAUACCGCGUGGGUGAAGAAGGCCUUCGGGUUGUAAAGCCCUUUUGUUGGGAAAGAAAAGCAGCAGGUUAAUACCCCGCUGUUCUGACGGUACCCAAAGAAUAAGCACCGGCUAACUUCGUG
rnacentral:rRNA from 1 species